GAAAAUAGGAAAAGAGACCGCAACAACAGCAGUAAGGAGGACUCAAUCAACAAUCCUAAUAAAAUUGCUAAGGAGCGCUCUCUCCAACAGGCCAAGCAAGCUCCCGAGGACUCUAGUAAUUCUAUCCCACAAAACAACUCCACGCCUAGUCGAUCCUCUGUUACUGUCUUGUAAUCUCCCUCCAAGAAGAAGGCGGACAGGAAGGAAGCCGCGGCUACAUCCCAACAGGGACCGGGUUCAGUCGUCCGCUCUGAACUCUCCUGCAGGCUGGACCAGACACAAGAAAGAAAGAGGGGGAGGAGAGGGGUAUUGAAACAAAAUAUAAAAAUAUAAAUUAAAACUUCAAUAAAUAAAACAAAUAAACUAGAAAUUAAAAGAAUUCUAGUGAUAAUAAGAAUUAC
rnacentral:misc_RNA from 1 species